CCUACGCGCGGCAGCAGUGAGGAAUAUUGGUCAAUGGGCGAGAGCCUGAACCAGCCAAGUCGCGUGAGGGACGACGGUCCUAUGGAUUGUAAACCUCUUUUGCCGGGGAGCAAAAAGCGGUACGUGUACCGCAUCGAGAGUACCCGGAGAAAAAGCAUUGGCAAACUACGUGCCAGCAGGCGCGGUAAUACGGAGGAUGCGAGAGUUAUCCGGAUUGAGUGGGUUUAAAGGGUGCGCAGGCGGCGAGUUAAGUCAGCGGUAAAAUUUCGGGGCUCAACCCCGACCAGCCGUUGAAACUGGCUGGCUAGAGGGGGCGAGAAGUAUGCGGAAGGCGUGGUGUAGCGGUGAAAUGCAUAGAUAUCACGCAGAACUCCGAUUGCGAAGGCAGCAUACCGGCGCCCAACUGACGCUCAGGCACGAAAGCGUGGGUAUCGAACAGGAUUAGAUACCCUUGUAGUC
rnacentral:rRNA from 1 species